UACGGGGGGGGCAAGCGUUGUUCGGAAUUAUUGGGCGUAUAGGGCGCGUAGGCGGUUUGGCAAGUCUAGUGUGAAAUCUUCGGGCUCAACUCGAAGUCUGCACUGGAAACUGCCGGGCUUGAGUAUGGGAGAGGUGAGUGGAAUUUCCGGUGUAGCGGUGAAAUGCGUAGAUAUCGGAAGGAACACCUGUGGCGAAAGCGGCUCACUGGACCAUAACUGACGCUGAGGCGCGAAAGCUAGGGGAGCAAACAGG
rnacentral:rRNA from 1 species